UCAAAAAAAACCCUCCAACACCACUGAUGUCUCCACACAGUUAAGUUGUUUUCUGAAUGGGUUGGUCUGUCGUGCUUAUAAAGAGCUCAGAUUGUAAAAAAAAAGUGAACAACUAGUUUAAAAACAAGAGGCAAGUUGAUGCUUUGUAAUGCAAUAAUAUGUUGUUCACUUCAGCUUGUCAUGGUCCCCGCACCUCGCCAGCUGACAGCAGUCAGGCGCUAUGUUUUGUGUUGUUUAUUCUCCUCUCUUGCCUCUGCUCUCUUUCUCUCUCGUCCUCUCCCUCUCUCUUUCUCCUGCCGGGGCGGAGCUCAGUAUGGGCUCCCGCCCCUGGCCCACGCACCUGGGGAUGAUCAGCACACCUGCCGCUGAUUACGAAAAUUAGAGUACUACUUAAGAUGGCGAGUCUGCUCUACUCGUCGCUGGAUCAUUGAGCCAUCAGCAUCUACCCUGGACCCUGAGCAACUGUGACUGAGCGUGUGCAAGACGAGUGGUGGUGAAGAGAGGAGCUGUUGUCUGUGUAUGGAAAGCCCCCACCCUGGACUCCUUCCCCUGUCACUCCUGGACCCCGAACCCCGACCCUUUUCCCGAACACCUUUGUAUAUAUAUUGCACCUGUGGGAAUCACUGUAAAUAAAUCCACUCUUGUUUGAAGGAA